rnacentral:rRNA from 1 species
ACGCGACCCCAGGUCAGGCGGGAUCACCCGCUGAGUUUAAGC